rnacentral:lncRNA from 1 species
UCUCAGCCGCUCAUGUACCUGUUGCCCUCUUGUUGCUUUUCAGUGACUGAUUCCCGGGGGCCCAGUAAGUGAGUUGGCGAGUCUCCACCUGCCAUUUUUACGUGUAUUUAUUACAUUGUUAUCGGCAGGUGCCAUAGUUCCCAUAGUCUUCCCAUUCCUAGUCCACUAACAUCCCAUCACAAUAGCCCAAGUAGUUUUCCUCCAUAGUUAGCAAUAGUUUAGCACAGAACCGGGGAUUGUCCUUGGGUACAUUUCUAUAGUGUAUACGGGGAUAAUCGUCGGUUUUGUGUUACCAUUUCAUUAAAGUUGUCUCAAAAGGGCUUCAGCGUGUUGGCUUCGGCCCCACGUUCGCCUUCCAAAAAUCCGGGACUCUGUAGUCCCGUGGUCGGUCAGAGACAUACAAGAUAAUAAUAAAAUAUUUA